GUCUCUGGACUAGUGGUUAGGCCACAGUGCUCUCACUGCUGUGGCCCCGGUUCAGUUCCUGGCCAGCCA